GGGAGUUAGUCCAAGGUUUUCGUAGUGGAAGAAGAAGUUGGUGGGUAACUGAAACUCAACCGAGAUCCAUCGGUGACCUGGUAGCUGACAGCAUAACUUGGAGCUCUGGAGACGAGACUGAAGAACAUCUGACUGAAACACGAUUAACAAAAUUGUUAGGGUGAGGAUUUUGUAGUUUAAAUUCUUGAGAGACAAUGAGUCGUGGAAGUGGCGGUGGAUAUGACAAUCAAAACACUAAUUUCUCUCCUGAAGCUCGACCUUCACAAUUGGGUGAAAAGGGCAGUAAGGAAAUGUCUGAGGGAGAUGAGGAGCUACCGAGGGAUGCAAAAAUUGUGAAAACGCUUUUGAAAUCAAUGGGAGUUGAAGAUUAUGAACCACGAGUUAUACACCAGUUUCUUGAGCUAUGGUAUCGAUAUGUUGUUGACGUACUGACAGAUGCACAAGUAUAUUCGGAGCAUGCAGGUAAGGCCGCCAUUGAUUGUGAUGAUGUGAAGCUUGCUAUCC
rnacentral:misc_RNA from 1 species